UGAGGACAUAAGAGACUCUGGAAUCCCUCUUACCACCAUGAAGGCAACGUCUGCCUGAGGAUAAAAGAAAGAAGAUCAGGAAAUGAAGUCAGGCUGCAAUCAGGAGAGAGAAAUACCAUCAGAAAUUUAACGAGAAAAAAUGUAAUAUAAAGAGUUAUCAACUGGUAAUAAGGAACUAGCAACUGGGACUGGGAGGAGAUAAAAGAGAACUCUGAAGAAU
rnacentral:lncRNA from 10 species